AUUGAACGCUGGCGGCAUGCCUAACACAUGCAAGUCGAACGGAUGAAGGGAGCUUUCUCCUGGAUUCAGCGGCGGACGGGUGAGUAAUGCCUAUGAAUCUGCCUGGUAGUGGGGGAUAACGUCCGGAAACGGGCGCUAAUACCGCAUACUACCUGCGGGAGAAAGUGGGUGAUCUUCGGACCUCACGCUAUCAUAUGAGCCUAGUUCGGAUUAGCUAGUUGGUGGGGUAAAGGGCUACCAAGGCGACGAUCCGUAACUGGUCUGAGAGGAUGAUCAGUCACAUUGGAAGUGAGACACGGUCCAGACUCCUACGGGAGGCAGCAGUGGGGAAUAUUGGACAAUGGGCGAAAGCAUGAUACAGCCAUGCCGAGUGUGUGAAGAAGGUCUUCGGAUUGUAAAGCAAUUUAAGUUGGGAGGAAGGGCAGUAAGUUAAUACCUUGCUGUUGUGACGUUACCAACAGAAUAAGCACCGGCUAACUUCGUG
rnacentral:rRNA from 1 species